GAAAAAUCCUAUCCUAUGCGGUGGAUCACUCGGCUCGUGGAUCGAUGAAGAACGCAGCAAACUGCGCGUCGAAGGUGAACUGCAGACACAUGAACAUUGACGUUUCUAACGCACAUUGCGGCCCAAGGAUCCCAUUCCCGGGCCACGCCUGGCUGAGGGCAGGC
rnacentral:rRNA from 1 species